UACGAAGGGUGCAAGCGUUACUCGGAAUUACUGGGCGUAAAGCGUGCGUAGGCGGUUUGUUAAGUCUGAUGUGAAAGCCCUGGGCUCAACCUGGGAAUGGCAUUGGAUACUGGCAAUCUAGAAUGUGGUAGAGGGUGGCGGAAUUCCCGGUGUAGCAGUGAAAUGCGUAGAUAUCGGGAGGACACCAGUGGCGAAGGCGACUACCUGCCUGUUCUUGACGCUGAGGCGCGAAGGCGUGGGGAGCGAACGGG
rnacentral:rRNA from 1 species